AAAAGCCUGCUGUGUUAGUCAGCUUCUAUUUGUUUCGAACCUUGUUUUCAUAAAGGGAGCCUCAAAUUGAAUGUCUGCCAACAUGCCAAUAUAUUUGGACGUUGAAGGAUCUUCUGCGGGCACCCACCUACGAGUGUAGGUUCAUGAAACAACUGUAGCAACGGCAUUCGCGGGUUUUAC
rnacentral:other from 1 species